rnacentral:lncRNA from 1 species
UCUAAACGAGAGAGUGCUGGAACAGCUCAGCUCGGCAGAGCGAUAUGGUAUUGUCCGCUUUGGGAACCGUGGGCACUUUGGCUCGCACGGUGGCGGACCCACCUGCAGGCGCGUGGCUGCUGGACAGGUGUCCCUCACGGUUUUGUCCCCCGUAGGGGCGCCUCGUGAGGAAAGGUUUUAGGCCUCCUCAUUAUAAGGCACAGACCUUUCCGCUGAUUAGCCGAUGUGGGACUAAACUGGGAACCCCAUCCCACAACACAGCCCCCCCAGUGGGAAGGUCUGUGCGUGGCCGGGUCCCUUCCUCUAGCGCCAUCUGAUGUGGGGUCGGAACCCCGACACCAGCCCACACACCGGCCGAGCAGGAAAGCAUCUGCGUCCCUCCCGAGGUAUUGUCCGCUUUGGGAUUGCCACUUCGGGUCUGCGGGAGGUCGCCCAGGGAGGUCGCCCAAUGACAGUCCCAAUGACAGUCCCGAGCCCUGACGGCGCGGGGGUCCGCGGAGGUUGCCCCCUACCCUCACGGUUUUGUCCUAUAAAAGGCGCCUCGUGAGGAAAGGUUUUAGGCCUCCUCAUUAUAAGGCACAGACCUUUCCGCUGAUUAGCCGAUGUGGGACUAAACUGGGAACCCCAU